CAAUGGGCGAAAGCCUGACGCAGCAACGCCGCGUGCGGGAAGAAGGCCUUCGGGUUGUAAACCGCUUUCAGCGGGGAAGAAGGCGAGCGGGUUAAUAGCCCGUCAGCUGACGGUACCCGCAGAAGAAGGUCCGGCUAACUACGUGCCAGCAGCCGCGGUAAUACGUAGGGACCGAGCGUUGUCCGGAAUCAUUGGGCGUAAAGAGCGUGUAGGCGGCCACUUAAGUCCUGCGUGAAAUCCUGCGGCUCAACCGCAGGCGGUCGUGGGAAACUGGGUGGCUAGAGUGCGGGAGAGGAGAGUGGAAUUCCUGGUGUAGCGGUGGAAUGCGCAGAUAUCAGGAAGAACACCCGUGGCGAAGGCGGCUCUCUGGAACGCAACUGACGCUGAGACGCGAAAGCGUGGGGAGCAAACAGGAUUAGAUACCCUGGUAGUCCACGCCGUAAACGAUGGAUGCUAGGUGUGGGCGGUGUCGACUCCGUCCGUGCCGAAGCUAACGCAUUAAGCAUCCCGCCUGGGGAGUACGG
rnacentral:rRNA from 1 species